rnacentral:rRNA from 1 species
AUGCCCUUCUCCCUUGUAUAUGAGGUAGAAGUAGUUCUCCCCAUAGAACUCGCAUACGGGUCACGUCGAGUACUCGCUUAUGAUGAGCUUGAGCAAGAGCAGUUGCGGCAAGAUGACGCUACGCUCCUUGAGGAAGAUCUUCUUCAGGCUGCUGUGCGAGCUACGCGCUACCAGCAAGCCUUGCGCCGCUACCAUAGCCGCAAGGUUCAUGCCCGAAGCUUUGAGGAAGGCGACCUUGUUCUUCGGCGCGGUCGGUCGGCCAAGAAUUCUAACAAGUUGACGCCAAAGUGGGAAGGCCCUUAUCGGAUAAUACGAGUCACC